GGCGCGUUGGCUUUGUCUUGUCCAAGCCCAGGCCCAGACCCAGAUAUGGAGGCUUUCGCUCCUUCCUUGAUUGGUGGAUCUUUACCUUUCAAAAGGAAACACUAAGGAUUCCAAAGUUCAAGAACACUGGAUUGAAACUGUAACAGGAAAAUGGUGCAUCGCAGUCUGGAUAACUAAUGUGGACUGUUCACCUCAAUGCUGUUAGAGACUUUACCAUGUCUGUGUAAGUUAAUCUUCAAGAAAAUCUCAAGCUCUCCUCAAGCAGAAGCCUGUUGAUUGGCACGAGACAAGAUAAUCAAUGACAAUUGAUGACAAAUCAAUGACAAAUUAUCAAAGGCGUUUUCCCUAUUCCGGUACACUGACACGACCAGAUGUCCUCUGUUGGGAAAAAGUGCUCUUUCUCUAACCUCACGGAAAGAAGGUGAAAAGGGGUAACCUGGUACAACACUGGGCUCCCAGACUCUGCGCAGUGGAAGGUGUUUCUUGAAGAUCAGACAGAGCAGAAGGUAUCACUGUGCGACAUCCCUUCUGUGGUUCACUGCACCCUCUGAGUCAGGACAAUGAGAGAACAUUCUUAAAACAUGACCUAACCACGCUCAGUCCUCAAACAAAUUCCUGGACGUGUGCGGAGCAGGCUUGUCAGCUCCUCGCUGCUGCCUUCACAAAGCCACUUUCUGAGCCAGUUAGUAUGCAUUCAAAUAAUGUUGUAAAAUAUAGCCAGUUCAUAUCUGGCGCAUAUGCUGUAGGGCCGCUCUUGGCCGUAUUUUCAUAUUUUUUAUAUUGUGGUGGCUGAGUCUCUGCCUGGGGUUUUGGGGAUCCCUGACUUCACACUUUACCAGAAAGAAGUUUUGGCAAAUUAUUCUCAGAGGAAAAAAAGAUAACACGAUACUGUCCAUUUCCAGAAUAAAGCGCUAGU